rnacentral:rRNA from 1 species
AACGAACGCUGGCGGCAGGCUUAACACAUGCAAGUCGAACGCCCCGCAAGGGGAGUGGCAGACGGGUGAGUAACGCGUGGGAACGUGCCCUUCGCUUCGGAAUAGCCCCGGGAAACUGGGAGUAAUACCGGAUACGCCGUAUUGGGAAAGAUUUAUCGGCGAAGGAUCGGCCCGCGUUAGAUUAGCUAGUUGGCGUGUAAUGGACCACCAAGGCUACGAUCUAUAGCUGGUCUGAGAGGAUGAUCAGCCACACUGGGACUGAGACACGGCCCAGACUCCUACGGGAGGCAGCAGUGGGAAUCUUGGACAAU